UCAAUGUAAUAAAGGUGUCAACAUAGUGUCAACAUUUUUUGCAAAUUGAAUGUGGGAUAACACAAUUGCUUAUCAGCGUCCUUAUGCUUGACUAAGUUUACAAUGCCGCAUUGUUGUGCAUUUGGAUGUUCGAAGAAAGGUGCGGUGCUGCACGUUUUUCCAAAUCCAAACAAACACCCUGAUCGAUUUAAAGUUUGGGUUCAGCUUAUUGGGGGCAAGUUGGGCACCCCAUCAGAUUAUGAAUUUUAUAAAAAAAAGAGGAUUUGCGAUCUUCAUUUUACCGAAGAACAUAGGAAUCGCUUUAAGCGAUUAAAUGCUAUAGCAGUACCGACCCUAUGUCUACUUGAUGACUCUACCAGCGCGAGCUACGCGCUACGAGCAUAGCCGACAACAUGAGAAUCCACCACAACAUCCACCUUUCAAGAUGUUGCUCCUGUAACUGACAUUCAGCCCACCUUUCAUUCUGCUGCUUCCGCGCCAGGCACAUCAUGCGCCCAACAUAAGUACUUCUCUUGGGAUUCACAAUCAACCUACCUUUCAUUUCGCUACUUCUGCCCCAGGGUGGCCCCAGGCACCAGGCACUGCCAGCGCCCAACAUUUGCUCCUAGAAUUGACUAUCAGCACAUCUUUCAUUCUGCUGCUUCUAUGCCAGUUACGCCCGCUAUACAACAGUCUGAGGUGCCUACCAUCAUCAACAACAUAUGUACUGCAGAUUCUUCUGUAUUUGCAGAACAUAAUUAUAGUGUGAUGAGUCGUUCGAAAAGAAAGACAUUAGAUGA